rnacentral:rRNA from 1 species
AUUGAACGCUGGCGGCAUGCCUUACACAUGCAAGUCGAACGGCAGCACGGGUGCUUGCACCUGGUGGCGAGUGGCGAACGGGUGAGUAAUACAUCGGAACAUGUCCUGUAGUGGGGGAUAGCCCGGCGAAAGCCGGAUUAAUACCGCAUACGAUCUACGGAUGAAAGCGGGGGACCUUCGGGCCUCGCGCUAUAGGGUUGGCCGAUAGCUGAUUAGCUAGUUGGUGGGGUAAAGGCCUACCAAGGCGACGAUCAGUAGCUGGUCUGAGAGGACGACCAGCCAAAGGGGGAGGGGAGCAGGGCCCAGCCUCUGAGGGGGGGCAGAGGGGGGGAUUUGUGAACAAGGGGGGAAGCCUUAACCGAGAAGGGCGGGGGGGGGAAAAAGGGCUUUGGGGUUGAAAAACUUUUUUGCCGGGAAAAAAACCUUGGCCUCAAAAACGGGGGGGGAAGGAGGGUCCGGAAAAAAAAAGCCCGGGCAAACCACGUC